CCUACGGGUGGCAGCAGUGAGGAAUAUUGGUCAAUGGGCGAGAGCCUGAACCAGCCAAGUCGCGUGAAGGAUGACGGCCCUACGGGUUGUAAACUUCUUUUCUCAGGGACGAAGCAAGUGACGGUACCUGAGGAAUAAGCCACGGCUAACUACGUGCCAGCAGCCGCGGUAAUACGUAGGUGGCAAGCGUUAUCCGGAUUUACUGGGUGUAAAGGGCGUGUAGGCGGGAAAGCAAGUCAGAUGUGAAAACCACGGGCCCAACCUGUGGCCUGCAUUUGAAACUGUUUUUCUUGAGUACUGGAGAGGCAGACGGAAUUCCUAGUGUAGCGGUGAAAUGCUUAGAUAUCAGGAGGAACAUCGGUGGCGUAAGCGCUUUACUGGGCCGUAAUUGACGCUGAGGAACGAAAGCCAGGGUAGCAAAUGGGAUUAGAUACCCCUGUAGUC
rnacentral:rRNA from 1 species